UCCCAUGCCACAACAGCAAAAGGCAAAAGGCACUGGGACAUGAGAUCUUAAACUGAACAGUGGAGAGAGAGAUCUGGGACCUCUGGGAAGGAUGUUCUAUUAGUCCAAACAUAGUUCCCUGAAAUGCAUGCACUCCACUGAAGAACAACCCUGUCUGAGCGUCAGGGAGACAGACAUGGGAAUCAAAGUGGCCACAAGUUUUUGGGCAGCUAUAAAUUACCUGGUCUUGAAUGAAGCAUGUCAUCUCCCAGUGUCUGCUUUCUCAUCAUCAAACAAACAAAAUACCUCAAGACAACGUCUGUUCACCACAGUGCCUGCAUCCUCCCUGCUUAGCCCAUAGCUUGGCUCCGACCCUUGGCGUUUCUGGUGACUAGCACUGGCCAUAGGGCUCACUAUCAGAGAAUAAAUGUGAUGAGAAGUGACA
rnacentral:lncRNA from 1 species